GCCUUUGUAGUGUAACGGUAGCACACUCGGCGCAUAUUCGAGAGGUCCAGGUUCGAGUCCCGGCGAGGGCA
rnacentral:tRNA from 1 species